rnacentral:rRNA from 1 species
UACGGGGGGGGCAAGCGUUGUUCGGAAUUACUGGGCGUAAAGGGUUUGUAGGUGGCCCGCUAAGUCACACGUGAAAUCCCUCAGCUUAACUGGGGAACUGCGUGUGAGACUGGCAGGCUCGAGGGCAGGAGAGGAACGCGGAAUUCCAGGUGUAGCGGUGAAAUGCGUAGAUAUGCCAUAGAACACCAAUUGCGAAGGCAGCUGGCUAGACCUGGAUUGACGCUGAGGCACGAAAGCGUGGGGAGCGAACAGG